UUACGACUACAUAUCAGGCAUAUCAAUAAGCGGAGGAAAAGAAACUAACAAGGAUUCCCUUAGUAACGGCGAGUGAAGCGGGGAGAGCUCAAAUUUGAAAUCUUCAAGGUUCUACCUUGACGAAUUGUAGUUUAAAGAAGUGUUUUCUGUUAGAUGAGUAGCAAAAGUUCCUUGGAAUGGGACAUCAUAGAGGGUGAGAAUCCCGUAUUUGGUUAUUCACUCUAGCUUUGUGAUACACUUUCAAAGAGUCGGAUUGUUUGGGGAUGCAGUCCAAAAUGGGUGGUAAAUUUCAUCUAAAGCUAAAUAUUGGCGAGAGACCGAUAGCGAACAAGUACCGUGAGGGAAAGAUGAAAAGAACUUUGAAAAGAGAGUUAAACAGUACGUGAAAUUGUCAGAAGGGAAGCGUUUGACACCAGUGUUGUUUUUCCGAAAAAUCAAUUACGAAUGGCUUGAUUUUGUGUUGUAUUGACCUUAUCAGCUUUCUUCACUUUUUUCGAGUCUUUCUUAAUGCACUUUUCGGUUAACAAGUCAACAUCAAUUUCUUUUGUUGUAAAAGAGUAUUCGGAAGGUGGCUUCCUAUUCGGAGAAAGUGUUUAUAGCCCUAUACUUCUACAAUCGGAGAGAUUGAGGUCUGCAGCGUAGAUCCUUCGGGGUUAGAUACACUUGUGCUAAGUUGUAGCUUUUCAUAGACAACUUGUUGACUAUGUUUAGUCAUGCGGCUUACUCGCUUGUGCUAUUUUACCUACGCUUAGGAUGUUGAGUAGCGACAUACGCAC
rnacentral:rRNA from 1 species